rnacentral:rRNA from 1 species
AUUGAACGCUGGCGGCAUGCCUUACACAUGCAAGUCGAACGGUAACGCGGGGGCAACCUGGCGACGAGUGGCGAACGGGUGAGUAACGCAUCGGAACGUGCCCAAUAGUGGGGGAUAGCCCGGCGAAAGCCGGAUUAAUACCGCAUACGACCUAAGGGUGAAAGCGGGGGACCGUAAGGCCUCGCGCUAUUGGAGCGGCCGAUGUCAGAUUAGGUAGUUGGUGGGGUAAAAAGCCCCACCAAGCCGACGAUCUGUAGCUGGUCUGAGAGGAUGACCAGCCACACUGGAACUGAGACACGGUCCAGACUCCUACGGGAGGCAGCAGUGGGGAAUAUUGCACAAUGGGGGAAACCCUGAUGCAGCCAUGCCGCGUGUGUGAAGAAGGCCUUCGGGUUGUAAAGCACUUUCAGUAGGGAGGAAGGGUUGAUGUCUAAUACGCAUCAACAUUGACGUUACCUACAGAAGAAGCACCGGCUAACUCCGUG